UGAUCCCAAUAAGGAAGGAGAAUGGAGAAACUCCUGACCGUGUCUUUGGUGAUUCUGUGGCUUCAACUGGCCAGGGUGAAUAGCCAGCAAGGAGAAGAGAAUCUUCAGGCCCUGAGCAUCCAGGAGGGUGAAAAUGCCACCAUGAACUGCAGUUAUAAAACUGCUAUAGACACCUUACAUUGGUACAGACAGGAUUCAAGGAGAGGCUUUGCCCACCUGAUUUUAAUACGUUCAAAUGAGAGAGAGAAGCUUAGUGGAAGACUGCGAGUCACGCUUGACAACUCCAUCAAAGGCAGUUCCCUGUCCAUCACGGCUUCCCAGGCUGCAGACACUGCUACUUACCUCUGUGCUACGGAUACACAGUGCUCACCAGGCAACUGCAGCCCCAACGCAAACCCUGCCAGAGCUGCCUCUUAGAAGCCGCAACAGUGUGUAGAGGUGGUGGUUAUGUCUUCCCACAAAGGAGAGUCUACAAACAGCUGGCAACAGGAAAGGGAGGCCUGUCAAAUUCCUGAUGUUUUUGGCAGCAUGUUAGACUAGGGUAAAGGGCAUGAGAUUUAGAACGGGAAACUGAAAUACCAGCUUCAGCUCUGCCCAUCCUGGCUCUGUGUCCUUAAGCACACCAUCGGUGUAGCAGCCUUCAGUUUCCUCACUUUAAACAAAGGAUUUGGACUCAUGAGCCUAAAGACCCUUCAAGCUCUAAUUUUACCAGGUCACUUGUGGAGGAUGAGGAAGGACUUGUCAGUAUUAGAAGGUCUCAUCUGUUAUAUGUACAGCCCCCUCAGGACUUAGGUGGCUUUGAGAUGCAUGAGAGGAUUUUUGCAUUUCUCUAAUUCUAACAGUAGAUUCAUCAGACAUUAGAGUUAAAAAGGAUCUUAGGACUCUU